AAUGAAUUUGUUUCAAUUAUAAAAACAAUGUUAUUGAAAUUACCAUGUUGCAAUACCACAAUACUGUGUAUUUUCAACUAUGUUGUUAUAGUCGAAAAUCAUUCUUUCUCAAGUUAAACUGACUACCCGUUUAGUAAUGAAUAACGGAAAGUGUUCUCGAUUUUACCAUGCCCAUGGUAGGAAUAAGAAUUAAAAGAAUGUAAUUCUCACCAGCGCUCACUUACGUUUCGAGCUCACUUUCAUUAUGACGACAUUUUUUGUGCACCAGUCAAGCCUGGACCUUGCUUAUUUGUGUGGUUCGCUUCAAAAUGUAUUAAUUAAAUCAAACAAUACAGACCUGCGAAAUGCCCGGGCUGAGAAUCUAGAGUUCCUCAUACCAAAAUCCAGAGCUGCCAAGACUCGAGUCGCGCAAUGUAUAGCAGAGAAAUACCAACCAAACCUGCUGAGUGUACUUUGACCUACGUAUCGAGCAAUGAGAACCUCCACCCGGAUUUCUUUAUAAUCGAUGCCACGGGAAAGCGGAAGAGUUUACAGAAGCUGUCAUGCAUAUCGUCCCUACUUUUGUUUUGCUUCCAAAAUUCAACGACGAAUUCUCGCAUAAUUUGAGAUAACGCCCUAAAAGCCAUUG